rnacentral:rRNA from 1 species
AGUGAACGCUGGCGGUAGGCCUAACACAUGCAAGUCGAACGGCAGCACAGUAAGAGCUUGCUCUUACGGGUGGCGAGUGGCGGACGGGUGAGGAAUACAUCGGAAUCUACUUUUUCGUGGGGGAUAACGUAGGGAAACUUACGCUAAUACCGCAUACGACCUACGGGUGAAAGCAGGGGAUCUUCGGACCUUGCGCGAUUGAAUGAGCCGAUGUCGGAUUAGCUAGUUGGCGGGGUAAAGGCCCACCAAGGCGACGAUCCGUAGCUGGUCUGAGAGGAUGAUCAGCCCCCCUGGAACUGAGACACGGUCCAGACUCCUACGGGAGGCAGCAGUGGGGAAUAUUGGACAAAGGGCGCAAGCCUGAUCCAGCCAUACCGCGUGGGUGAAGAAGGCCUUCGGGUUGUAAAGCCCUUUUGUUGGGAAAGAAAAGCAGCAGGUUAAUACCCCGCUGUUCUGACGGUACCCAAAGAAUAAGCACCGGCUAACUUCGUG